AGAAAUUUCUCAUAUAUUAAAUCAACUUGGUUGCAUUACAAAGGACACGAUACAAAGAUUACAACAUGUGAAGCUAGUAGUAAUCCUACUGUUGACCUUGCAACCAACGUCUCAGCCAUUCUGAAACAUUGACACCGAAAAUAUCUGAAACAUAAUGAUUGAAACAUUGGCACUGGACAUGGAAUUCUAAGACACAAUGUGAAACUAUCUAAUAGCACUCCUAUUCUUGACCAAUAUCUGAGCCAUGCAUCAUCGAAUACAGCAAUCUACAACAAAGAAACGAAAUAGGUUAAUAGGGCAAAAAAAUUGGAAGGAGGAGCAACAUGGAAAGGUCGAAGGCAAUGUGAUAGUUAAUCUUGCUGCAUGACUAAUAAUUUUGACUCUUUUUAGUAGUUAUAAAAACUUGUAAGAUUUUGCUAAUGUAGCAUCAACGCGCAAUACCAAGAAUUCAUUACCAAGUUUAACAUCAUCAACUUUAGAUUUAUAUUCGGGGUCGAUACUUUGGAUUAAAGUAAGAGGAGCAUUGUUGUUCGGAUGUGUCCAGUAUAAUAUUUGUAGCUAACAAUAGUCAUUUUAGCUUACAGUACACUAACUCAGCCUGUUUCAUUAGUAAGUUUCACCCUGUUAACAGAAACAAAGUGUUUUAUAGGGGUGGGAAAAUGUAAGGCAGGCAUAAAGUAGUUGAUGAAUUGUUUAACCUAAUCUAACCGAAAUGAGUCUUAUCUCACAGAAGCAGUGUUCUCUUGUACAAAUUAGGUAGGAAAAAAAAGAGAAGCAUGUGUAAGAUAAUAAAAUGUAGUCAAGUAAUGCUAUUAAUACUCCAAACUUUCCAUUCGAUCUGGUGAAGAAUCAUUCACGCAAUAUAGAACUACUAUCAGAAAAUACCUCCUAGUAAAUCCAGCUUGGCACUAAUAUGUUUUAGCGCCAGCAACAUCGACUUGGAACAAUCUAGUCUCUGUAACCUGCUGAUUUGGCAUAUGCAUUAGUAAUCUAUGUUCGGUUGUGCUCACUGAAUCGAUGGCAUCAAAAUAGCCGAACACAUGUGUACGAAAAAUUUAGCGUACUCUUUAUUCUUUUAUAUCAGAACUCUUACAUAAGCUUGCUUUUUUACGGAAAAACUCUUGCACGACCUGGUUCCAUGAUAUGACCUGCUACAUGGCCAAAGCAAUCCAAACCUACGCUGACUUAAUAGCAUCUAGAACGACUCAGACUGCAGUGCCCUUUUACUAGACUAGUAAGGCAUGCUGAGUCCAAGACAUACUAGUACAGCAUGUAGGCUACUAGCUAUGCAAACUCAUUGAACCAUAUAUGGACUACAGAACACAAAUGCUUACGACAUGCAAACGAGACAUGUUGGAAAACUAACUAAUCAACCUAUCAAAAUUAGACUCAAACUUGGCUAGUUAAACUAGCAUGGACACCUACCAAACUACUUAAAAUGAUUCUAACAAUUUAGAAGACCACACCAUUAGUGCAGUGCCAGGCUGCCAACGUAUCAGUAUAUGCCAACAUUUACUAAAUAGGUUUCGCUUUCUUAGUUCACUUGUUUACCGAGAACAUGGAAACUUAGAGCAGUUCCAGUAUGCUCUUCUUUGUCACCAUGGUUGCCGGAUGCUCAAACUGUUGGCCUGAAUAGGUAGAGGAGAAGGUUCUAAGUAUUACAGAGAAGAGGAGAUCCUAGUAAGAUCCAAUAGUUUGGGAUCAGUGAAUUCGACGUACCUGACACACUUGCACAGUCGCCGUAUCUGAUCGCUUAGGUGUCUGUUUAUGCUUGUUAGUAACAUCCCACCACCAUAGUGUGCCUGUAUGUCAGGGAAGCAGAGUGCACAAGAGGAAUAAGUUUGACAGUUUAAGGAGAAUAUGUUACAAACAAGAUAAGAUGUGAGAGGCACCUGGCCAAGAGUUUGUGUGCUGACCAAUCAUGCAUCAUUCUAUCUUUGGAAACGUCUGUGGCUCCCCACAAAAUACAAAUUAGUACAGAGAUUGCAGGAAUUCAGAAGUACCCGUAUUUCCAAAAAAAAUGCACUGAACUUGAUUUAAAGGUGAGAUUUCAAUAAUAUGAGUCAAAUACAUAUGACGAGAAUAUCAAGGUACGAUGUUCUUGUAACUCACGUUCAAAAUUUAUCAAUUAUUUAACAGUUUAUAUUGGAUAACAUGAGUGUAAGAAUUAUUUCCAUCUGAGCUUUUGCAUAAAGUUAGAGAUUGAGGUGUGCACAUUUUUACUGAAUAAGAAGCUGAAACUAAUAUAACUUUUUGUAGGGGAAAACAAAUAUUACAUCAACCGAAAAGAUAGAAUAAGAUACAAAUUCACGUUUUCCUUACUGUAACAUGAACUAGCGAAAACAUCCUCACCAUGCUAUACACAAAUGACUAAAAUAAUUCUCAAGGCUUCUUUUGCAUAUUCAUGGAUUCUCCGGAUUGCAAUGCGUAAGUGUUGUAGAUCGAUCUGUUAAGAAACAGCAGAUGCACACACAUAGUAAAAGACAAUAUCAGAACUUGUGAGUGUAGAUGGAAUAAAUGAUUAUAGAAUAAAGACAAAUAUUGGGACGAACGGAUGCAAGUAGGACUUAUUUAAUUAAUAUAUUGUACAUUUAACACCAAAUAAAUAACGAUUUAGUGUAUUGAGAAGGGGAUUCUCAAUUCGAAAUAAUUAUGCUAGUAUCAUGGACCCAUAAUUGCACUUACAUGAUGAUUUUUGUAGCAAUAUUCUUCAGUGACAUACAUGGUCGCAUAUGGUAUAUCGCUGAUACACUAUCUCACUCUAAUUUGAACCAAGUUGAUUUUUUUAAUAAGAAGACACUGCGUUGAUCUUAUUGAACAGGUCAUGCUCAUUGCUAGUAUAUACUACUAAUCCAAGAACGCAUAUCAUAUGAAUAGUAAAGUCUAACCAUAACGCAUGACAGAGUACUACCCAUCCAGAAUUAGUACAGAUUGACAUAUGGUGAAUCAGAUCUAAUAAAAAAACACCAGUACCAGACAUGUCAACUUCGGAGGUAGAAGAGGCAGAUUACCAUGUCAAGCCCAAGCCGGCUGCCGUGCGUGAGGUGAUGCAAGGGUACUGGGCGAUAAAACGGAG
rnacentral:lncRNA from 1 species